rnacentral:rRNA from 1 species
GACGAACGCUGGCGGCGUGCUUAACACAUGCAAGUCGAGCGGAGCGGCGAACGGGUGAGUAACGCGUGAGUAACUGCCCCCCUCUCUGGGAUAACAGUUGGAAACGGCUGCUAAUACCGGAUAGUGGGGGAUGAAUCGCGUCCUAUUAGCUUGUUGGUGGGGUAGUGGCAUACCAAGGCGACGACGGGUAGCCGGCCUGAGAGGGCGACCGGCCACCUUGGUCUUGGGUACGGCCCAAACUCCGUCGGGAGGCAGCAGUGGGGAAUAUUGCACAAUGGGGGAAACCCUUAUGCAGCAACGCCGCGUGCGUGAUGACUGCCUUCGGGUUGUAAACCGCUUUCAUCCUUGACGCGGUAGUGGCAGAAGAAGCACCGGCUAACUACGUGCCAGCAGCCGCGGUAAUAC